GGGCCCGUAGUCUAGCAUGGAUUAGGACACUGGCCUGCGGAGCCGGAGAUCUUGGGUUCAAAUCCCAACGGGCCCG
rnacentral:tRNA from 1 species